rnacentral:lncRNA from 1 species
GGAAGGUAGGGGCGCGGUUAGGCAGUUGUGAAUUGGCCCACCCCUCCCCCGCCCCUCCACCCCACCCCUCACCCCACCUCACCCCCACCCCUCCCCACCUGUACGCCGCCCUGAGCGGCUCCCACAGGUGGUACAUGCACCUCAGACCGGGAGUGCGGCCCGGCGGCACCGAGAUGCGCAGAGCCGCCUGUUGUGGGGGUGGGUGUGGGUGUGGGGGUGUGGGGGCAGUGGCGGGGGUGCUGGGGCGUUUGCAGUUCCCUGAUGACGCAGAUUCCCCCUUGAAUGUUCGGGCAGACGACGACCUCAUCACCCACCCACCACACACCUCCACACACACGCGUACCUGCAGCUCGAUGAGAACUCCGUUACGCAAGUUCCUUAACUGUGCGGGCAGAUGACCACCUCAUCCAGACACACGCUGCACACCUCCACACACACACAUACACACACAUACACACACAUACACACACACCUCUGCACACACACACACACACACACACACACACACACACACACACACACGCGCGCCACACCUACACAAACCCUCAUCACACACACACGCACCUGCAGCUCGAUGACGCACUGACGCAGCAGGCCGCCCUGACCCGCAGCCUCCAUGCCGUGCCUGCUUGUCAGGUGUACAGGGUGUGGGUGUGUGUGUGUGUGGCCGUGUGUGUGUGUAUUUGCCGUACAGCCGUACAGCCGUACGCAGCAUCAGGGGUGCCGUGUAUGCGUGUACAAACAUAUAUUCGGGGCGUGUACGUCGCGGCGUGUGUAGGGCGGGGCGUUUGCACCACGGCGACCAGACCUCCAGCCGUCGCUGCCGCCCUGCCUCACCCCUCUCCUCCCCCACUCCCACGGCCCCACCUGCUCUUGUAGAAGAAGCCGUACGCAAUCAGGUCCGCCAGAUUGCCCUGAAGAGGCGCGGGGGGUGGGGGGUUGGGGGUGGGAGAGAGGGACGGGGGAAAUCACGAGGAAAUUGUCUCCGCGCGCGUUACCGUACCACAGAAGCCCAGGAGGGUCGACGAAGAAAAUGAUAUCAAGGAGAGCGUGCCGUGGAGGACCAUGCUCCACAAACAUGCACACGCACACGUCCGUCCCCGGCCCAUUCACUACCCCCUGCAAAUAACACACACACACACACACACACACACACACACACACACACACACACACAUACACGCGCACACAAACAUAUACACGUACAUACACACACACACACACACAUACACGCGCACACAAACAUAUACACGUACAUACACACACUGCACACAAACACACACACAUACAAACACAUGCACACACACCAUCGCGCGCACCUGCUUUAUUCGCGAUGUGGGUGCGCCACAGAACCAGGGGCUGAGGAAGUCGGCUGGGUCCAGGAAGGAGGCGGGGCAGCAGCGGAUGAUCUGGAGGAGGGGGGAGGCGGGGGAGGGGGGAGGCGGAGUGGGAGAGAGAGUUAGGGGGGAGAGUGGGAGGAGGGAGGAGGCAGGUGGUCGGUAAGAGGGAUGAGCUAGGGGCGAGCGGCAGUGGGUGAGGGUUUAGGGCCACACUGCACCCCACACAGCCCCACACGCACACGCAUGCUCACCUGCAACAGGCGGUGGAAUGCGGCCAGGCCGUCGUGGCGCUCGGGCCGGUGGUGCUGCGGCGGCGGAGUGGCGUUCAGGGCCGCGUAGCUGGAGCCGUGGUUGUGGUGGGGUGGUGGAGGUGGGGGUGGUUGGAGUGGUGGGGGUGCGGGGCAGAGGAGGGUGUGGGGAGGAGGGAGAGAGGGAGGGGGCGAGGGGGUCAGGAGCGGGAGGGAACGGUGGAUGGAUGGGCCUGUCGAUGUGUGAUGUGGAGUCCCGCCCGUCCCCCAGAGCCAGCACCCGAACACCCAACCCGAGCCGGCGACAAGCGAGCGACCCACCGGUGUCGGAAGUACACCGCAAACGCCAGCUCCGCCCCCGCCACCAGCCACCCAAGCCGCCGCCAGCCUACUAAAGCCACCAGCGCCGCCGCCACCGCCGCCGCAAACGCCGCAAACGCCGCCGCCGCCGCCGCCAUCCGCAGCAGCAACCGCCAGGCACGUGCAUCAUAAUCGGCGGGGAGCUGGGCGCGACUGGCCUGUUCGGUGUCAUCGUCGAGUUGUUUCGGUUUAUGUUGGGAUUCUGAUGAUGUUGGUGAUUUGGUUUGGUUCGGGGUUUGAUAUGGGUGGGAAGCGGCAUGGGUGUGCGGAUAUGGGGCGGCGCAGGAGGGAGGAGGGGGCGGCGAGGGCGCUGCGGCAGCUGCAGGGGUGCAGCUGCCGCGGGCGUCGGCACGCAAUGCGACAACGAGUCGGGCCAGCGGAAAGCGCAUUUCUAGACAUCAAAUCGAUCGCUAACAAGCCUAGUAAGCGGGCGACUGGCGACACGAAGGAAAAUGGCAAGUAAAACGACACCGUAAUCAGCGAUCCAGGAUGACCACGCCUCCGAAGCCCCUGCGUAAUCCUCGACGAUGAUGACGCCCUCACCUCGUGACGCAACCGCCGUCAAGCCCCUUUCCUCCUCUUUCCCCGUGCUGCUUUGGUCCCCUCGCCCACCUUCAUUCCCCCCUUCCCGGCCUUCUCCUCCCCUCCUGCUCUUGUGCCAAGCCCCAACCGCAGCUAGCUACCCCCUCCCCCGCAACCCGCAACCCGCGCCCGCCCCCGGUCAAUCAACCUGCUGAUGACCCUCUCGAUAGCGCUCACCCGUGUGUCUGCCGGCGGCCGCUGGAUGAGGGUGGUGCAGCAGCCCUGAGCGCUAACGAGCCCACCGCCGCCACCACCACCAUCUGCUCCAAUGCCGCCGGCGCCGACCGCAGGAGUAGCAGCGGCAAAGAAAGACGGCAGCAGCGGUGGCGGCGGCGGCGCCGCUUCCACAAAGACGUCGUCCUCCUCCCUUGGCGACAUCGCUAGCAGAGGUGAGGCGCUGGAGAAGGCAGACUCCAUGGCGGUUGCGGCUGUAGCAGCAGCGGAGGACUUCACUGCUGCAGUGGUGGCGGCAGUAGCGGCUGUAGCAGGAGCCGCGGCUGAUGGUGGCGCGGCUGUAGCACUCGCUGCUGCUGCUGCUGCCGACUCAUCAUCUGCCGCCACCGCCUCGUAUUCCCCACCGUCCAGCAGCACUGCCCCACCAGCCCCGUCGUCAUCACUGGCUGGAUCCAAACCCGGAUCCAGUUCGGAAUCGGAGUCGGGCGCGAGCAACGCCUCCGCCAGCGCCGCCGCUGCUACAGCCGUGGGUGAUUCAGGCGCCUGCCGUCCACUUGACUGCUCGCCGUACUGCUGCGGCUGUAGCAGCCCCACCGCCGCCGCCGCCUCACUGCUACUGCCCAGCACGCCACUACUACUGCCGUGCUGGUAUGUGCUACUGCCAGUGCCAUGCCGCACCACAUGAAUCACGGCGGCGGGCGCUGCUGCUGCUACUGCCACUGCCGCGUGCUGUUCACCCGCCGCUGGAGUCUCUGGCAGCAGCCCAGGCCGCGCCGCCGCCACUGCUGCGGACGGCUGUUGCGGCACGCCCGCACCGACACAACCGGGGACAGCGGUAGCAGAGGCAGCACCGGUAUUACGGCGGCCGACCCCUGCAAUGGCGGCGCCGCCGCCGCCACCAACGCUGUCGCCGCCGUCAUUUGGCGCGGCAGCAGCACUGUCGGCGGCAUGAUGAGGCUGCAGCUGUAGCAUGCUUCCGAAUACGCCAUCAUAGCCGGGCAUGUAGAGGCGGCCACCGCCUUCAGCCGCGUUGCUGCUACUGCCGUUCUUGGGCUGCUCGGCGCUACUGCUGCAGCUGCGGUAGCUGCAGCCGCCGCUGCUCCGCCGCGGUGCAGGCAGCAGCGCUGCUACAGCCGGCGGCGGCGCAGGCGCCAUUGACUCAGCAGCCGCUGCGACCUGACCCACAUCGGCGCUGCUGCUGUUGCUGCUGCUGCCGCCGCCACCAGCCGCCACCGCCACGCCCGCACUGCUGCUGGGUUGCUGCUGCCCGCGCCGCUCCAGCUCUCCGUUCCCCCACGUCCCUACUCCACCUGCCACAUCUCCCUCCUCCGCCGCAGCCUCAGCUGCAGCCGCGGCUGCGGUCUCAACUGCUUUCGCUGCUACUGCCUCCCUAUGCCCGCCGGCCUCCGUCGCGCCCGCACGCUCCUCCCGCCCCUCCUGCGCCUCCUGUCUCGCUUGCUCCUCCUGCCCCUCCUCCACCUUCUGCGCCCCCUGCGCCCCCUGCUCCCCCUCGCGAUACACCCCCGCCGUGCGCGGAAGCGGCGGGUGCGACCUCAGCCGCUCCAUUCCGUACGUAGCUGUGUCCGUGUGGGUGCGUGUCACCAGCUAGCGGCGGAUGCCUCCAGCAUCAGCCAUCCAGCCCUAGCGCGCUGCUGUGAGGUGCGAUGCGUGGGUCUUCCGCUGCCGGGGGCGCAGGCGGACAGAAGCCGCCCCGCGCGUGCGUUGACCCGGCGGCGGUGCUGCUUAGGCCCCGCUUGGUCGGGAGCGUGGGUCACCGAGGCCACGCCUAGCUAUCUAACCAAAUUGCAAGUAUAAUUGGCUUGCAAGCCUUUGCACCGGUUGUGCUUUGUGCUCGCGUAGCUCGCGUUCACAGACCAGUCAGCAAAAUGCGCCUGAAGCAUUUAAUGCGCUUGCUAUCAAUUGAGCGCAUUCGAUUACAGCGAGGCGGCGUCCAAGGGCGUCCCAAUGUUUCUCGCAGCAGCCCAUGCAUGCAUUCGAACGCUCGCGCGCGGUCGCUCCCCCAUCGCGGUCCGCGGGUCGGUCUGUAGCACUGAGGCAGCGGCCCGCCGGAGACAGGUGUCAGACAGAAGGUUCCCUCGAGGCUCCUGCGGCUUACGUGCUCCAUACAUCGCGACGCGGAAUCCGGGUUCGACCCGACUCGAGCGCGUCAAAGCUAGGGCGGAGGGGCAGCGGCCCCGAGGUCGAGAGCUCGCUCGCGGCUCCUGCUGCGGCUUACGUACGUGCUCCAGCGCUGCGAGGAGGAAGCCGGCGGGUGAACCGAGAGCGCGGAGCACGCAGAGGCCUGCAUAAGCCAGGACAGGGGCCGGCGGGCAGGUGUAGGGACGUUGUAUGGAAGUUGCGGUUGGCGUGCCUUGAAUCCGCCACUGAAGUCGCCGUGGGCUGCAGGCUACAAGCAACGCGGGGUGGGCGCUGGGGAGCCGGGUGGUGGGUGUGAGGGGGUGGAAGGGGGGCUGUGGUUUGGCUAGACCCCUGCGGCCCCUCGUGAGGCGGAAAGGGGAACGAGGGGGAAGCCAAAAUGGGCGUGCCGUUUUGCAAACUCGCCGAGCGACAAAUAUGGGAUCCGUGAGGCCUGCUGCUACGCGAUCACCACCACGCGUACGUUGUGCAGUUGCACACACCGCCGGACCACACCAGGACUUGCGGCGUUCCCGCCAAAACUGAACCAGCUAUCGCCUCACGCAUAACUUCGACGCCGUAGGCGCCGUGUUACGACGGCAUGAUGCUGAGUAGAUGCAGUAGCUGAAGAUCACACGGAGAACCAGGUGGGCUAUUCUGAAAGUCAAGUUCUCUGGCCGGUUUCCUCGCGCGAACGAACGAAGCACCUCCCACGCCUGCCUCACAUGCCGCUUUACAUCCGACAGGCAGGUUGCUGUUGCGCGCCAUGUGCGCUUGAGCAUCUAUCUGCGCGCUGUGGAUGCUGCUUGUGGGCUGGGGUGUGCCCGGCUUCCCACUGCUCCCCCGCCGUGCUCCACCUGUAGCUCCUCCCACGCGCCCUCCUUCCCAGCGCCUUCCACCGCCGCCGCCACCGCGGCCACAGCCUCAGCCGCAGCCGCAGUGAUUGCCAGCAGUAGUGCAGCCGCACCUGCCGCCGACCCACCCACAUCAACAUGCAGCAGCAUCAGCAGCCGCAGCAGGCCACUGUUGUAGCAGCUGGCAACAUGGCAGGAGUGCACAGCAUGAGCGGUGGCGGUGGCGGUGGCGGCGGUGGUGGAUUCAACUGGGCAGGGGCUGCAGGGCCAGCAGGGGCUGCUCCGCCUGGCGGUGGCACGUGUGCGGCGGGCCCAGCAGCAGCAGCAGGUGCACCUGUGCCGCACAUUGCUGCUAUGUCGUGUCAAGCACGCCAUUCACACCAGCAACACCACCACCACCAGCACCAGUACCACCAAUCCCAUCAUCACCAGCCCAACCCGCAGCAGCACUCGCAGCGGGGCCAGAGCAUGGGCGCUGCAGCUGCUGCUGCGGGACCUCGCAGUGCGCAACAGCAACAAGCCCCUCCGCCGCAUCAUCACACCCAUUGGGCGCAGCAGCACCCGCACCAGCACCCUCACCAACACCAGCACCACCCCCCGCACCAGCAGCCGCCGUGGCGCGGCGGUCCGGCAGCAGCUACGGCGGCAGCGGCAGCAGCACCAGCACCAAGUCCACUGCACGCAUACGGGCCGGGGCCGCAGGGGCGGCAGGGGAAGGGGCAGGGGCAAGGGCCGCAUCAGGGGCAGGGGCCGCGGGGGCCGCGGGGGCCGCAGGGGCCGCAGGUACAGGAGCCGCCCCCAGCGAGCGGCAGCUUCGGCUCAUGGGCGCAACCGCCACAUGCCGCCGCCGCCGCCGCCGCCAGCACAGCGGCACCCGGUGGUGGCGGAGGCGGCGGCGGUGGCGGCGGCGGUGUAAAGGCUGGGCCACAAUCGCAACCACCACCGCAGCCGCAACCAGUGCCGCCGCAUGCAGUACGUGGGUUGCAGCACCUUCACCACAUACCCCAGCAGCCGCAGCGGCAGUACCCGCUGGACCCGCAGCGACACCAAUGGCCGCCGCCGCCGCCGCCGCCACAACCGCCAGCAGCAGGAAGCACGAUCUACGCACCGCAGCCGCAGCAGCCACAUAAAUACACGUACCAGCCGCCAUCGCAGCAGCAGCACCAGCACCAACAGCACCAGCACCAGCAGCGAGCGGCGGUGCUCCCACCCGCUGCAAAGGUGAUGACGGUUCAAUUGGGACCAGCAGCAACACUUCCCGGGCCCCCACCCCCAGUAAUGCCGCCGCCAUCGCUGCCGCAGCAGGCGUCAGGCUGCAGCCGCCGCCCGGUGCUGUGCUCAGGGCCCUUUCCGAGCACCGCCAUCAGGGCUUCCAGCGGCGGUGCAAUGGCGGCGCCGCAGCAUCAACACCACAAGCACCAGCAACAGCAGCAGCAACAGCAACAGCAACAGCACCAGCGGCUGCUACAGCGGCUGGGUCUGCGUGUGGCGGUGGUGGGUGGCUCGCGCUGCCUGGUGGCGGCGGCGCCCUUCCGCUGUGUGGGCCGCGACGGGGCACCGCUGCUGCUGACGGUGCGGCUGAGUGCGGAGGAUGCGGCGGCGGUGGCGGCGGAGGAGGACGCCGAGGCAGAGGCAGGGCAGGAGGAAGCGGCGGCGGCAGCAAUGGCGGCGGCGGCUGAGACGGCAGCAGUGGUGGCAGCGGCGAGAGGGGUACAAGAUGAUGCGGCAGAGCGGGCGCAGGAGGAGGCAGAGGCGGCAGCGGUGGCGGAGGCGGACGCAGCUCAGGCACUAGAGGCGGCAGAGCAGGCACAAGAGGAGGCAGAGGCGGUGGCAGUGGCGGAGGCGGAAGAAAAAUUGCAGGCGGCGGCGGCCGAGGCAGCGGCCGCGUGUGGGGCGCUGCAGCAACCGAUGGCGGCUGCGGCGGCGGCGGGGGCAGCGGCAGGAGCGCCGACACAUCCGCCUCUACUGGUUAUGGCGGAGGCGGACGUAGAGGUAUCAGCAGCAGCAGGAGGCCUCCAGCGGCCCUUGCCGCCUUCGGCCGUUACCGCCGUGGAUCACGCUGCCGUGUCAACCGACGCAGCCGCCUUCACACAGGCUGCGGCACCGGCCGCAGCAUCAGCACCUGUCCAGCCGCCGCCAUCGCCGCCGCCGCCGCCUCUGCCGCCGCCGCCGCAGCCACCACAGCAGCCGACUGACAGCCCCAUUGGCACUGGCGGUGUGCAGCAGCGGCGGCGCGGCAGCGGCUGCCGGCGGCGGAUGCUGGGACCCUCGUCUGCCGCCGCAGCCGAGUCCUUGAGGCAGCAGCUGCGGCAGCUGCAACAUCAUCACCACGCAGAAGGGGAGGAGGAGGGCGGCCGUGAGCCUGUGGGGCCGACUGCAUCGGAUCCAGUGGCAGCUGCGGUGCCGGCGGCCAUUGCCGCUGCCGCUGCCGCUGCCGCCGCCAGCGCUGCCGGCACAAGAUCACCAGCAGCCGCAAAUCAUGGAGUUUCGGACAAAGCGGCAGUAGCACAGGCGCGCGGGCGCCAGCAGCUGCUGCUACAGCCGGUGCCGCUGCCCUCUCGGCCUCCACUGCUGACUGUCCCAACGACGGGCGCUGCUGCUACGGCCGCUACAGCUCCCGAGGCGCCGCAGUCACAGCAACCCAAGUCGCUGUUUGCGAAGCGGGCCGCCAGCAGCAGCGGCGUCACUACUGGUGCUAGCAGCAGCAAGAGGUCUCGAACGGGCGGCGGCGGCGGCGGCGGCAGAGGGCGCUGUGGGCAGGCUAUAGAGGAGGCUGGUGCUGCGGACGGCGGCGGUGCAGGCGGCGCUGGUGAAGGCGCACCUUUCGGCAGCACUGGGCCGGCUGAACCCGAGCCCACGGCAGCGGUGGCACCUGCUGCCGCACCUGCCGCCACACCUGCAGCACCUGCAGCACCUGCGGCGCCACCCAAGGUGGACGAAGCUGUCGUGCUUCUGGAGCCCCUGCCGCUGACGCCGCUGGAGGUGUCACAGCAGCAGCAGCAGCCGCCAUCGCAGCAGCAUCCAUCACAGUCGCAGUCAGUGUCGGAGCAGCUGCCGCUGAACCAGCUGCAGCUCCUUCAGGAGCAGGAGCAAUCGCAGCAGCAGGAGCCGCCGCCGCCGGAGCCAUCGCCUCAGCAUCAAGAGCAGGAGCAGGAUCAGGAGCGGGAGACGGCACAGCCGCCACUACUGGGGAGGAUGGCCGCACCGCAGCCACCGCCACUGCUGGUCUCAUUCCCGGUACCACUACCAUCAGCGCCGCCGCAGCCGUCGCCACCUCCUCAAAUGCAGCCCAUGCAGCCGCCGCCUCACCAGGCGCCCCCGCCACAGCAACCGCCGGCAGCACUGCUACAGCCGCCGCCUGCGCCAUGUCCGGCACCUCCCACCGCUGUAGGCGUAGCAAUGGCUGCUGUGGGGUGGCAGCAGCAGCACCAGGCCCUCCCUCACCUCCGACCGCCGCCUCCUCCGCCUCAACUACAGCCGCCACAGCCGCGCCGCUGCGCCACCUGCUGCCCACGUGCCUACUACUACGUCGCCAGCUUCCUCACAGACGACCUGAGCCUGUAUAGCAGCGGCAGUAGCACUAGCGGCGGCGGCGGCGGCGGCGGCGGCUGUAACGGUGCCGCUGCCUCUGGCUGUAGAUGUGGGCGCCGGGGUGGCGGCGCACCGCCGCCGCCGCCGCCACCACCGCCGCCGCCAGUGAACCUGCCGGCGUCGCACCCGGCGGCUCGGGCGGCGCUGCUGCGGGUGGUGGGGGUGCUGGUGCAGGAGGCGGCUCACUUUGGUGCGGCCAGCCGCCGCCGCGCCGCCGACAGGUGCGUGCGUGCGUGCCUUACACGUGGUCUGCUUCGCUUACGGUACGCGCGAGCUCCGCCAAUGUUGCGGCGGAGUGCGGAAAUCGCGCCGCCAUGCAUCCGUACCCACUGCAACGCGUGGCACAAUUUCCGCAAUCUGUCGCCACUACUGCCGCCACCACCGCCACUGCAACCUGCAGGUAUUGGCGGUCGCUGGCCGCCCGUGCCGCUGUAGACGGCACGCCGCCGCCCGCCCUUCAGGAGUGGGCGGCAGCCACUGGCGGCCUGGAGCCGCCGCAGCCGCCGCCUCCGCCGGCAGCAGCAGCGCACCCACUAGCACCAUUGCUGACUGGCACAAUUACAGCAGCGGGGGCAGUGGGGGCAGCGGGGGCAGCGGGGGCAGCGGGGGCAGCGGGGGCAGCGGGCUCUGGUGUCGCAUCUGGCUUUUCAUCUGCAGCGGGCCGCAAGCGCCGCCGGGAGCCGCAAGGCGAUGGUGGCGGCGGUGGUGGUGGUGGGGAGCAUCAGGCGGGGGCUGCCGCCGGCACCGGUGCCGCUGCUUGCGUUGCGGCUGCCGCGGCGGGGGGAGGCAUGAGCAUUGCGGAGGCAAUGGCGGUGAGGAUGGCGGCACGGCGCAAGGCCGUCGCGGCUACAGGGGCCGAAGGCGGAGCUGCUGGUGGUGGCGGCGGCGGUCGGACUGGAGGAGGUGGAGGUGUUGGGGAGUUCCGGGCGCCCGGCCCCCUGGGUGUGGCGAGGCAGCAACAGCUGCAUCCGCAGCCGCACACCCGGCAGCAGCAGCUGCAGCCGCCGCCACAGCAGCGUCCGGAUCUGGUUGAGAGGCCAGCGGCUACAGCGGCUGUAGCCAAGCCGCAAGACUUGACUUCUUUGGGCAACAGUGCAAGCGCGCCUGCCCCCGCUGCUGCGGUCGAGCCACCGGCCGUCGCUGCAGCCGCCGCUGCCCAGCCAGCAGGCAAGCGGCCGAGACCUGUGGGCGCCAGCGCUGCCGCCGGUGCGGCGUUUGUCAACCCACGGCGGCAGCAGCAGCGUGUCGCACCGCGCCACGAGGCACUAGCAGUAGCAGCAGCAGCAGCAGCAGUAGGCGGCACCGCCUCCGCGGUGAAGGCCCCUCCUACUGCAGCUACUGCCGCAACCAAUGCUGCUACUGCUGCCAAUGCCAAUGCGGUUGUUGUUGCCGCCAUGUCGGGAGCAGUUCCGAGCCCUGCCCCCGCACCGUCGCCUGCUCCCGCGCCGUCGCCAGCCAACACCACCGCCGCCCCGGCGCUGGAGCUCGCGUCGCCGUUUCCGCCGCUGCUGCUGCUGGGCUCGGCCGCCUGCUCGCCACUCGGCGCAGCCGCGCCCGCAGCAGCCGCACUGGGGUCAUCAGCUGCGGGCGGCGCUGCUGGAGCCGCGGGGGCUGGUUCCACAGCUGCUGCUGCUGCGGCUGUUGGGGUCAGCAGCAAGCAUGCGCCACCGCCGUUCGCACACGGCUUCGCCGCCCCGACCACGGUGAAAUUUGUGGCACCAGGGGAUACGCCGACCGCGGCAGUAGGUGUUGUGGCGAGGGGCAGCAACGAGGAGGGCGCGGUCCUGGCGGCUCCGGCUGUAGCAGCAGUAGCAGCAGCAGCGGCAGUAGCAGCGGCGCCUGGGGCAGUAGCAGGAAGACCCGCAGCCGCCGCGGCGACCGAAGAGGCGUCCAUGGAUGGCCUGACGGCGUCACAGGCGGAGGCGCUGGAGGCGCUCGAGUCCAAGUACAUGGGCGGAGGGGGCGGAGGGGUGGGGUGGGUGGGGGGGCGCUAGAAGGUAGCUAGGGGUUGACACGGUAUGAGAGUGGAGAGAGCGAGGGCGCUGGGGCGGCAGUCCAACUGGCUGAAGCACCGAAGCGUUUGAGAGGGCAUGUGAGGGCCUGGAGGCAAGCGCUCAGUGAUAGGCGGGCUGAGGAGGAAUCAACGACUACAACGACGAGUGGUGCCGUGCUGCCAAGUCGAGAUGAUGGGUGCUGCAUACGGUGCGCAGUGCUAGCUACGCGCGUGUCGUUGGUGGGUCAAGGGUGGCGGCCGCCGAUAAAAGCGGCCUGGCGGUUGGCGGCCAGGCGCGGCGUUGGCUUGGGCGGCAGACAGGCAGUGAGCAGUGAGGCAGUGAGUGGCAGAACUGAAGGGACUGGAUCGGCGGGACGUGGACGCGUGGUGGGUCGUGUUCACAAUGGACUUGCAGCAUCAGGCAUUACACCAGCAGCCGGCGGGCAACGCAAGUACGUGGCCCGCCGCCGGUGCGCGUGCGUGUUACUCGUCUCGCCGCACACCGCCCCAGUUGCCCAGCAGCUUCGCUCGCAAUCGAGCACCGUACGCCAAACAAGCUGAAAUGCUCGCUUUGACCUAACUAUAGGUAGGGGUCCGUGGCACUCCAUCCGCAAAGACCGAAAUGCAUGUCCCUGGCCGCCGCGAGCCAUGCGCCAGCACGCAUGCUUACUUCCUGCCAAACCAUACAACGGCCAGCCCACCAUACCGGUCCAUUGGCUCAUCAACCCAUCAAUGCGGCCGCAAUCAUGGGUCUCUGCGCGCGCUCACACAGGCUCGCGCUAGCCCAAGCAUGCCGCACCACACCACCAGGCCCAGUGGCCCACACGCCAAGACAGCAGCCCCAUGCACCUCCGUGCAACCUCCAUGCAAACGCAUUGUAACAACCGAUAAAAACCGCCGCUGCCGCCGCGACCAUGGGCCGCCCUCGCAUCCAACAUCCAUCAUCCAUCGUGUCCGGCUGCUGUGGCGAGAUACACACCGGCAGCAUGUACCACCCCCCCUCCCUCCCUCCAUGCAUCCAUGUUUCUAUCAGCCGUUUCCGACACCCACUUCACCGCACGCUGCUAGUCCACCUGGCCACCGCCAGCAUCAUCCCCACCACCCCACAGCUACUGCAGCAGCGGCAGCUGCAGCAGCUGCUGCUGCAGCCCCCAGCCGCCCUCCAGCGGCGGCGGCGCGGCGGCGUCGGGCUCCACCUGCCGCUCGGGGUGGAUGUGCAGGCGGUACAGGAAGUACGUCCAGAAGCCCACCAGCGCCAGUACGAACAGGAAACCCAACCAGACCAGCGGGUAGUCGGACGGCUCGUCGCCGAUGACCUCUUCGUCUUCCGCAGCUCCUGCUGCAUCUGCCGCCGCCGCCGCCGCUUCGUCUUCCGCUGCAGCCCGCGCUGUGGCUGUGGCUGUGGUGGCCGGGGCUGCGGCUGCGGCUGCUGCCGUGUGUGGGUGCUGCUGGGAGUGGGGCGCGGGGAGCAGGCCCGCCUCCGCGUCCUCGGCUGCGUUGCGCGCGGCGCGGUCCUCCUCGUCUUGCUUCAUGAGGUCCUUGACACUGCGGCGUCGGCGUCAACGGUAACAGGGCAUCAACGGCAGCAACGGCAGGGUCAAGAAAAGAAGAAGGGGAAAAAGGAAUCAGAAGAAGGGAGGAGAAGAAGGGAGGAGGUCAGGUAGAGAGGAGGAGAGAAAGGGAGUGCCAGGGCGGAGGCGGCACCUGCGUUAAGCACGUCGCUUGGAGCGGCCACGUGUGGGGUGUUCGAGCCCGCUCCGCCAGGUACGUGUGCGUGUGUGUGGCACUUACGGACACACAUGCGUCUGAUCACUUACAUAGGCGCAUGCAGUUCUGUAGCACGUACAUCUCCACACACACACAAAUUCCCCCCCCGCUUUCCUCCUCAACAGGCGUUCACACAGACAACAAUCCCGUUGGGCCGGCACACACCUGUCAAAGAAGCUCUCGCUCGUGAGGGUGAGCACUGCGGGGCACACGGAGACACACACACGCGUGGGAGGGCAGGGUGACCGCCGGGGCAUGUGCGCGUGUUUGUGUGCAAGACGGUUUGUAACACACGAACCGACAGAGAGCAGCAACGUGUGGCGGCAACGUGUGGCGGCACGUGUCGGUCCGAAUUUCGUUUCAUUGACCCACGAACGGCACUGCCUCAGGCCACCCCAGGCCACAACAUGUCACACGAUCAAACCCGAACACACAACCCCUACACACACACAAACACACACACGCACCCUACACACGCACCCACCCUACACACACACACACACACACACACACACACACACACACACACACACACACACACACACACACACACACACACACACACACACACACACACACAGUCGCUCACCGUCGUCCACAUCCAGGAUGAACAGCGCUCCCGCACCUGCGCACACACACCGGCACACCGUCAUCAGAGCGGAGAUAGCACGUGUUGUCGUUGUUGGGAGAGGUGGGGGAUGCCGCGGGAGCAUGUGUGCGGUAUGCCGCGUGUUGGACGGCCGUGGCGAUUGCGCAGGUGGGGUUUCAGGGGCCGCCACCCGCAUCAGCCAGCCCCGUCACCCUCACUCGACAGCACUCACCCCCCCCACCGCCUCACCCUCAACCCCACCCUUUACCCUCACCCUCCCCACCUCCCCCCCCCAAAGCCCCCUCCCCAACCCCCCCUCCCCCAGCACUCACCCGACAGCACCACCUCCUGGGGGUUGGCGCAUCGCGCAAUGACCACAAGUGUGACCAGGUACGCCAGCGCGAUGCCGCACAUGUACGACACAGCCGUGACGCCCGCCAGUACGGCGGCUGUACGGCAGCGGUUGAUGGCGAGGUGGUGGGCGGCCACCAGCAUGUACAGCGCGCAGGUUGCGUCCUGGCGGUUGGGCGGUUGGUAAUGGAUUGGUUGGUUGGUUGGUUGGUUGGUUGAUGUGGGGCAGUCAAGGAUGCACGGAGGCAAAGGGUGGCAGUGGGAGGAGAGGGCGAGUUGUCGGUUGUCGUCGUAGCGCGACGUCAGUUUCGCCUCUCCGCAUCCUCCGUCUACACGACCUCUUCCCAUGUUCCCCGUGUCCCCCCUCCCCCUCCCCCCCGAACGAAUUCGUCUGCAGUCUUCAGUGCAUCCUGUACCGCUUUUCCAAACAUCCUUGCAACCCCCCCCACACAUCCCACAAGUAUUAUCGUUUGCAACUAACACCUCUGCCUGUGCUCCGCUCGUUUUCGUUGGUUUUGGUUUAGUUUGGGCUGGUGUUUACCCACCACCACCACCACCACCACCACCACCACCACCACCCACCACCUCCUGCCCCCAAGCCCCCACCCCCACCCGCAUACCCCAUCACCCACCCUCCUGUGGAUCCAGUACAGCACGUAGGCGGACGCCACGGACUUGCUGACCAGCAGCACCGCCGGCUGGCGCAGCGGCACGUCGGCGGGUACGUCGAACAGGUCGUUGAAGGAGGAGGCGCCCUCCUGCAGUUGGGGGGGGGGGGGCGGGAUGGGGGGGCGGGGGUGUAGAUACCAGACCAGACUAAACGGGGUGGUUGACACUCAUGAUUGGCCAAGUAAUGGGGGGGAUGAGGAGGUGUGUAUAGCGAGAGAGGGAUAGGGAGUUAAGAUGUGGUUGAAGGAGGCGGCAUCCUCCAGGGGUGUGGCAGGCGAGGGGAGUGGUGUGGAUGUUCCACUGCUCACAAACAAAGAAACUCGCCAGGCAGCGUUCAACUGAGUGCCCCGGGCUGCGAUGGAGGCUGGGGCGAUGCAGCUGCUGGAAUCACUGUGCAGUGCAUUUGCAUUAGUCCCAGAUCGUCCCCCACAAUCGUCCCUCCACCUCGCACAUCGCCCCCCAUUUACGGUAAUCACUCCGUCCAUGACUGGCUGUAUUCUCCCCCCUAGCUUGGUUUGGUUCAGUUUGGGCUGGAAUUUGCAAACCCCUCCACCCCCGCGUUCUUCCCCCACACUGCCGCACCUGCACCCACUCCAGAAGCAUGGAGGCCGGCAGCGCUACCUGCGGGGGAGGCGGACGGGAGAGGUUAGGAAGGAUGCGUGUGAGGGGAAGAAAAGAGCGCGUGGGAGUUUGUGGUUAGGCUUGCAUAGGGCACGGCCAUGCGCCCGCACACGACCAUGGGACCGUUCCCACCGCAGUCAACCCCACGAUUCAAAACCCCACCCCCCCUGCUACCAACUCCAACCAAGCCCCCGGUUUAGCUUGGUUUGGUUUAGUUUGGGCUGGAAUCUACAACCCUCCCCCACCUGUAUGAACAGACACGCCAGGGACACGAAGCCCUGCUGCAGUGCCACACAGGUCAGGUGGGUGCCGGCGGCGCCCGCCGCGUUGCCGCCGCGGGUCGCCACCAUCUCCACCGCAUUGGCAAUGCCGCCCAGGAAGGGGAUCUCGGUCAUGCCCGAAACAAUCUUCAUCACCACGCUGUGAGGCCCCGUGUAUUUCCACACCUGGGCGGGGCAGUUCGGGGAUUUGGGGGUUGGUGGUUCGGGCUGGUUCGUGUGGGCGGCUUGGUAUCAUGUGAACGGCGCAGGGAGAUUACCAGGUGAGGGGGAGGAUGUGAGGGUGGAAGGCAGAGGAGGGAGAGUGGUUGUGCAUGCGGGGUAUGAGGGCGCUGGGGUACGAGGGCGCUGGGGUAAGAGGGAGCAGGGGACCGCUGGCCACUUCUGGGGCGCCAGGUGCGUGCCGCGGAACUGCGGCUUGCGCACAUGGGCUCCAACAUGCUGACAAACCGCGAUAAUUGAAAGCGUGUAUCGGCGUCCCAAAGUCGGAACAUGCGCGCGUGCUUGCCUGCUCGCUGCCGAAGCCCGUUGGCGCGUAAAGCGCCGCAUAGGCGAGUCCAACCAGGCUGGUGUAGGCGUUAUAUGGCAGCUUAUCAACAGCAUCCAGGUAAACCGCCGAGCACGAGCGGCCCUUCCGCUGCAAGCUUGCAUAGCCCUUGUUGCGCGCAAACCAGCCCCAGCACAUGGCUGCUUAGUAAAGUGCAAAGUAAGAUUGUUGUUAUGUAUCUCGACAAAGUUUACAGCAUUUCCGGCGCGUUCAGCGCAGUGCACUCUGAACUCUCGUAGUCUUUCGCAGCUUGACCUGGCAGCUCGAGCUUCUAAGCAUUCACAGACGUUGUAAAUCUAAAGCAUGUUACUUGCAAUUAUUGUCACCCGACAUGCAAGCCGCAAAACCUAACGGCCGCCACGCACCGCGAGGUGAAGCGCCGUGGAACAGGCGGGAUUGCGUGUCAUCGACAACCCCUGCAGAGUGCCGGUUCACCCCCCUGUCUGGGCAACCUCCGGCACCUCCGAAGUCCUGUGACCACCAUUACAUGCUACAGCUCCACUCAAUUGCAGCAUUGGCAUCCAUCCUCUCGCCAGACUUUGUCAUUCCUCCUGUCCUAGCCUGUGCCAAUGUACCAACCCACAUCCCUGUCCACAUCCUGCGUCGCCGCUUGCGGCUUGCCGCACUCAACAUGCCCGUUCAUCGACUCUUGUCACCUGUGAUUAACUACCAUUUACUUCCUCCAAGACAAGAGAUAGUCUCCAAUGCAUGUUCUUAACACUCUCAACCCAUGCCAUGGAUGACGGCAGUCGUCCAGGUGAAAACCGCUGUCCUCGCUACCCACUGAUCUUCCCGCACGCGUGCCAAGACCCCCUUGAUGUCUAACCCCACUCCCCAACAUCCAUCGCCCCUGCUUGUCACCUCACGCCACGCCUCGUCAUUGUUUCCCGUCCUUGGGCGCCUGCUGCUGCUCCUGCUGCUCCGCCUGCUGCUGCUGGCCCGGCUGCUGACCCAACUGCAAGGCAGUCAAGGAAGAAAGGGCGAAACACAAUGUCGGCUGCGUGUCGGUGGCCGUACAUGCAUGACACGGCGUUUGGCGAUGCAAACUCCGUAACCGCAGUACGCAGCUCUGCACAACCGACACGCACACAGGCCAAACACCAUGCACGCGCCGCCCCCCCCCCGCACCUGCUCGCCCUCCAUCUGCUCGUACAGCCCCAGCCGCUUGUACUCCUCCUCAAUGGUCUCCUUGGCGCGGUACACCUGCGUGCGGGUGCGUGGGUGGGUGUGUGGGUGGGUGUGUGGGUGGGCGCGUGGGGCUUUGUGUGGCGUGUCUGUCCCUAAAGCGACAGGAAGGCACACGCGCAUCCCCUUCCCUUCUGCGUGGAUGACUACCUCCCAUCUCCACUGCGCCUAUCCUCCGCCAUGCCUCCCCACCUCAGCCCCUCCCCUCUUCGGCCCCCUCCUUUCCCCUUCCUGCCCUGGACCUUGCUCUGCCCCCUCCUCCCGUUUCCUUUCCUCCGCCGCACCUUGCUCUGCAGGUAGAAGCUGCCGUGCUUCUCAUUCACCUCAAACAUGUGCUUGAAGCGCUGUGAGUGUCAAGGGAUUUACGAUCAUGACUAGUUAAGGAAGAGGUAGACGGUAGACCAUCUUGCGAAACAUCAUCGGGCAUGUGUGGUAUGUGCGAGGCAGAGCCAUGGCGUGUGCGCAGGGAGUAGGUGCCGGUGCAAGUGCGGGUGGGGGGAGGCGUGCGGGACAGGUGUGUGCUGCCGCGAGGGCCCGUGCAUGCGGGGGCCGCAGGGGCCGCAGGGGCCAUGACCCAACCGCACCCGCCACUUCAGCACCGGGGUCGCCCCCCGCAGCACCUACCACCACCUGCCACCACCCACCACCUGCCCCUGGCGCCCCGGCUCCCACCUGGAACGCCCUGGCCGCCAGCCUGCGCCCCCCUUCCCGCUCUUGGCCCCCAUACUUCGCCUUCUCUUUGAAGACCUUUGCCCCUCCCCUUGUGUCUUCUGUUUUCCUGGGGACGGUGAAAACCACCCCUCCGCCCGCUGUCUCGCACGCCACGCACCCACCUUGACCACGUCUCCCCAGCUGGCCCCCGACUCCACCCCCAGAAUGAGCUGGGCCUCCUGCGGGGCGGCACACACACGAAACACACACACGGGGCGGAAAGGGAUGCCUCAGUCACCAGCCGCCGCCUACAGAACGGUACAGACGGCGGGCCCUCCAUCGCUCCGUACGGGCAAGGCAGGAAAGGGGCGAGAGCCCGCCACGCCAUGUCCGGCAGCUCGCAAUACAUGCCCAUGCCCACACGCCCCCCGGGCUCCCAGGCUCCCUCCACAUGUGGGCUUGUUCCAGCCACCCAUGUCCCUCACCCUCGCCACGCACACUCCCAACUCGCCUCCCGCACACUCCGCCUGCUACGCACACUCCCCUCCCCCUCCUCCCCCUCCUCCCCCCUUCUCCCCCCCUGCCCCGCCCUGCUGCCGGCCGCGCACCUGCACGGCCAUGGUCCCGGCCUUCUUGACCGCGGAGCCAGCCGUCUGUGGGAGUGGCGAGAGCGCGAGUGCGAGAUUGCGCGUGAGUGCAGGCACAGUGCGUGGCUACAAGUCAGUUUGGGCUGAAGCGUCCGCAACCGCACCCGCAACAGCAGCCAGAGGUAGUAUGCUGCACGGGCUGCGGCGCACAUUGCGCCGCGCCCGCCACGAAGCGUCGGCCCUGAGCGCAUCUACGCAAUGCUCCCAACCGUCCCGCAGUGGUCCCGCAGUGGUCCCGCCACGGUCCCGCAAUGGUUACAUAUCCCCACCUGCGCUGCCUGCUGCGCCGCCUGCGCCGCCUCACUCGCCACACCCGACUUCUGAGCGUCUGCAGUGAAGCAGCGGCGGGGGGCGCGGCGCGGUGCGGCGGGGAUGAGCGGUGGGGAGUUGGUGGCAGUGGCAAUGGCAGCGGGGCGGUGCCGGGUCGUGCAAUUGAGUAAUCCAAGAUUCACGAGCCAAACGUUUGAGGGCCACAGGUAAGGGCCCACAGUUCGGUCGGCUCUGCGCGCCCCCAGGCACAGCACAGCGCCCCGCUAGACCACUGACUGAACGGCCCCCCAGCCUCCACCCUGGAGGGCCUUUGCUCGCCCUCUCCCUCCCCAAGCUACUCUCCUCCCCCCUUCCAUCUAGUUGGGAUUGGCGUGCACUGGCCCCCACUCUCCCGCCCACACUUACUGACUAGCGCCUGCGCCC